rnacentral:misc_RNA from 1 species
GAUGAAGAACGUAGCGAAAUGCGAUAAGUAAUGCGAAUUGCAGAAUUCAGUGAGUCAUCGAAUCUUUGAACGCACAUUGCGCCCUGUGGUAUUCCGCAGGGCAUGCCUGUUCGAGCGUCAUUUCAACCCUCAAGCCUCGCUUGGUGUUGGGCCCUGCCCGCCGCGGCCGGCCCUAAAGAUAGUGGCGGCGCCGCCUGGCCCUCAGCGUAGUACAGCUCUCGCUCCAGGGUCCGGCGGCAGCCUGCCAGAACCCCCCAACUCUGUGGUUGACCUCGGAUCAGGUAGGGAUACCCGCUGAACUUAAGCAUAUCAAUAAACGGAGGA